GACCAGGCUUGGGAGCCAUAGCCACCCAACCCAGGGCCUGGAUACUUUCGCUGACAGCUGACAGGUGAUUGAACAACUUGCUGCCUCGGUUCUUCUCCCGGAAGGUCACCACUUCUUGGAUCUGCUCGGAGAUGGGUGCCAACAAGUCAGAAAGUUUGUUGCCUGCUGGCUGCUGGCACUGAGAGGCUGUAACCAAGAGAGCUCGCUCUAACUUCAGACCUGUGUGGACCAUCUCCGCAUGUUUCUGCACAUCUCCCCCACUCUCUUUACUGAUCUUGAGGUACUCUGCCACAGGACCGGCCAGCAGUGAGUCAAAUGCUUGCACAUAUGGAGUCGUUCCUUUUGCAGCACUGUCUCCAUACCCACAGUGUGUGUCAGAGGCAUGGGAGACUGCCUCCAGGCGGCCCACCACUCUCUCCAAUCUUUCUACCAGAUUUCGCAUGUCAGCCAUAAUGUACCACCUCAGACUUCUGUCUCACCUCCGGACCGCGAUUGGCCUCUCUCUACUUCCGGCAAGAACCGCCCAGCAACCUUUGCGCCUAUACAUACCCAUUUUUUUAAAAGGAGUAUCUUUUAAGCUAAGUGAAACCCUCACGCUGGAAUUCACCUUGGCUGACAGAUGUUUGCGCCACCAGGAAGGACCCAAGUCCGACCA
ensembl:lncRNA